GAGUUAAUUUUUUAGUUUUGAAAACUUUAUUUAGGCUUUUUAGUCUUUAACUU
rnacentral:tRNA from 1 species